rnacentral:lncRNA from 1 species
AGCCCUCUUCUCUAGUAAUCUUGUGGCCACCAUUAAUUUCAUAUCAUCAUCCAAUUUCAUAUCCACAAAUGUCUCCGUUACUUGAGUAAUCCAAUCUUUAGCUGCGGUUGCAUCCAAAUCACCAACAAAAAAAGUGCAACCCAACUGCCUAGCUUCCUUAAGCUUUUUGGAAAUGGAGACAUCUGGCACUGGUGGUGGAACAAGAGGUGGUGGUGGUGGCACUGGAGAUACUGCUGGGGGAA